CACGUAGGGGGCGAGCGUUGUCCGGAUUCAUUGGGCGUAAAGGGCGCGCAGGCGGCCCGGAAAGUCGGAUGUGAAAACUCGAGGCUCAACCUCGAGCGUGCACCCGAUACUGCCGGGCUUGAGGCAGGUAGGGGAGAUCGGAAUUCCUGGUGUAGCGGUGAAAUGCGCAGAUAUCAGGAGGAACACCGGUGGCGAAGGCGGGUCUCUGGACAGUUCCUGACGCUGAGGCACGAAGGUCAGGGGAGCAAACGGG
rnacentral:rRNA from 1 species